ensembl:rRNA 5S_rRNA 5S ribosomal RNA
GCUGGCAGCCAUAUCACCCUGUAGCCCAAGGCUGGUUACCCACUGAAGCUAAGCAGGGCUGAGCCUGGUCAGUACCUGGAUGGGAGACCUCCUGGGAAAACUAGGUUGCUGCUGGAA